GAGUUUGAUCCUGGCUCAGAACGAACGCUGGCGGCAUGCCUAACACAUGCAAGUCGAACGCCCUCUUCGGAGGGAGUGGCGCACGGGUGCGUAACGCGUGGGAACCUGCCUUUAGGUUCGGAAUAACUUCCCGAAAGGGAUGCUAAUACCGGAUGAUGUCGUAAGACCAAAGAUUUAUCGCCUUUAGAUGGGCCCGCGUUGGAUUAGCUAGUUGGUGGGGUAAUGGCUCACCAAGGCGACGAUCCAUAGCUGGUCUGAGAGGAUGAUCAGCCACACUGGGACUGAGACACGGCCCAGACUCCUACGGGAGGCAGCAGUGGGGAAUAUUGGACAAUGGGCGAAAGCCUGAUCCAGCAAUGCCGCGUGGAUGAAGAAGGUCUUCGGAUUGUAAAGUCCUUUCGGCGGGGACGAUAAUGACGGUACCCGCAGAAGAAGCCCCGGCUAACUUCGUGCCAGCAGCCGCCGCGGU
rnacentral:rRNA from 1 species